AUUUGGAGAGGAUGCUUUUGGCGCGGCGCCGUCCGAGUUCCUUGGAACAGGACGCCACAGAGGGUGAGAGCCCCGUACGGACGGACGCCUAGCCUCUACAAAGCUCCUUCGACGAGUCGAGUAGUUUGGGAAUGCUGCUCAAAAUGGGAGGUAAAUUUCUUCUAAAGCUAAAUACCGGCCAGAGACCGAUAGCGCACAAGUAGAGUGAUCGAAAGAUGAAAAGCACUUUGAAAAGAGGGUUAAAAAGUACGUGAAAUUGUUGAAAGGGAAGCGCCUGUGACCAGACUUGCGCCCCGUGGACCACCCGGCGUUCUCGCCGGUGCACUCCGCGGGGCGCAGGCCAGCAUCGGUUCUCCCAGGGGGACAAAGGCCGCGGGAACGUAGCUCCUUCGGGAGUGUUAUAGCCCGCGGCGGCAUGCCCCUGGGGGGACCGAGGACCGCGCUUCGGCAAGGAUGCUGGCGUAAUGGUCACCAGCGACCCGUCUUGAAACACGGACCAAGGAGUCAAGCAUUGGGGCGAGUGUAUGGGUGCCAAACCCGCACGCGAAAUGAAAGUAAACGCAGGUGAGAGCUUCGGCGCAUCAUCGACCGAUCCUGAUGUCUUCGGAUGGAUUUGAGUAAGAGCCUUACCGCUUGGACCCGAAAGAUGGUGAACUAUGCCUGAAUAGGGUGAAGCCAGAGGAAACUCUGGUGGAGG
rnacentral:rRNA from 1 species